rnacentral:rRNA from 1 species
UACAGAGGGUGCAAGCGUUAAUCGGAAUUACUGGGCGUAAAGCGUGCGUAGACGGUUAUUUAAGUCAGGUGUGAAAGCCCCGGGCUCAACCUGGGAAUUGCAUUUGAGACUGAAUAGCUAGGGUGCGGAAGAGGGAAGCGGAAUUUCCGGUGUAGAGGUGAAAUUCGUAGAUAUUCGCAAGAACACCAGUGGCGAAGGCGGCUUACUGGUCCGGUUCUGACGCUGAGGCGCGAAAGCGUGGGGAGCAAACAGG